CCUACGGGUGGCAGCAGUGGGGAAUAUUGCACAAUGGGGGAAACCCUGAUGCAGCAACGCCGCGUGAGUGAAGAAGUAUCUAGGUAUGUAAAGCUCUAUCAGCAGGGAAGUAAAUGACAGUACCUGACUAAGAAGCCCCGGCUAACUACGUGCCAGCAGCCGCGGUAAUACGUAGGGGGCAAGCGUUAUCCGGAUUUACUGGGUGUAAAGGGAGCGUAGACGGCUGCGUAAGUCAGAAGUGAAAGCCUGGGGCUCAACCGCAGGAUUGCAUUUGAAACUGUGUAGCUAGAGUGCAGUAGAGGUAAGUGGAAUUCGUGGUGUAGCGGUGAAAUGCGUAGAUAUUAGGAGGAACACCGGUUGCGAAGGCGGCUUACUGAACUGUAACUGACGUUGAGGCUCGAAAGCGUGGGUAUCAAACAGGAUUAGAUACCCCGGUAGUC
rnacentral:rRNA from 1 species